rnacentral:piRNA from 1 species
UCUCUAUGAUGUUGAAAGCUAAUUCUGAAU